UACGUAGGGGGCUAGCGUUGUCCGGAAUCAUUGGGCGUAAAGCGCGUGUAGGCGGCCCGGUAAGUCCGCUGUGAAAGUCGGGGGCUCAACCCUCGGAUGCCGGUGGAUACUGUCGGGCUCGAGUCCGGAAGAGGAGUGUGGAAUUCCUGGUGUAGCGGUGAAAUGCGCAGAUAUCAGGAGGAACACCAAUGGCGAAGGCAGCACUCUGGGACGUGACUGACACUGAAAAACGAAAGCCAGGGGAGCAAACGGG
rnacentral:rRNA from 1 species